UACGUAGGCAGCGAGCGUUGUUCGGAAUUACUGGGCGUAAAGCGCGCGUAGGCGGAUCUGCAAGUCGGGGGUGAAAUCCCGAGGCUCAACCUCGGAACUGCCUUCGAUACUGCGGGUCUCGAGUCCGGGAGAGGUGAGUGGAAUUCCUAGUGUAGAGGUGAAAUUCGUAGAUAUUAGGAAGAACACCAGUGGCGAAGGCGGCUCACUGGCCCGGUACUGACGCUGAGGCGCGAAAGCGUGGGGAGUAAACAGG
rnacentral:rRNA from 1 species